rnacentral:rRNA from 1 species
AGUGAACGCUGGCGGUAGGCCUAACACAUGCAAGUCGAACGGCAGCACAGCAAGAGCUUGCUCUUACGGGUGGCGAGUGGCGGACGGGUGAGGAAUACAUCGGAAUCUACUUUUUCGUGGGGGAUAACGUAGGGAAACUUACGCUAAUACCGCAUACGACCUACGGGUGAAAGCAGGGGAUCUUCUGACCUUGCGCGAUUGAAUGAGCCGAUGUCGGAUUAGCUAGUUGGCGGGUUAAAGGCCCACCAAGGCGACGAUCCGUAGCUGGUCUGAGAGGAUGAUCAGCCACACUGGAACUGAGACACGGUCCAGACUCCUACGGGAGGCAGCAGAGGGGAAUAUUGGACAAAGGGCGCAAGCCUGAUCCAGCCAUACCGCGUGGGUGAAGAAGGCCUUCGGGUUGUAAAGCCCUUUUGUUGGGAAAGAAAAGCAGCAGGUUAAUACCCCGCUGUUCUGACGGUACCCAAAGAAUAAGCACCGGCUAACUUCGUG